AUGGGGCUUUCUUCUUCCUUU
rnacentral:misc_RNA from 1 species